rnacentral:rRNA from 1 species
ACCUGAUGCAGCGACGCCGCGUGAGGGAUGGAGGCCUUCGGGUUGUGAACCUCUUUCGCCAGUGAAGCAGGCCUGUCCCUUUUGUGGGUGGGUUGACGGUAGCUGGAUAAGAAGCGCCGGCUAACUACGUGCCAGCAGCCGCGGUAAUACGUAGGGCGCGAGCGUUGUCCGGAAUUAUUGGGCGUAAAGAGCUCGUAGGCGGCUGGUCGCGUCUGUCGUGAAAUCCUCUGGCUUAACUGGGGGCUUGCGGUGGGUACGGGCCGGCUUGAGUGCGGUAGGGGAGACUGGAACUCCUGGUGUAGCGGUGGAAUGCGCAGAUAUCAGGAAGAACACCGGUGGCGAAGGCGGGUCUCUGGGCCGUUACUGACGCUGAGGAGCGAAAGCGUGGGGAGCGAACA